UUUUACCAAUGUCCUUUAGCAGUUUCCCAAAGAAAAAAAAACAUAGAAACUAACUUUUAAAUUCAUGAUAUCAGUAAGUAAAGAAAACAAAAACUUCAAUACAUGGGAAUUUUAAAGUCACCUCUUGAAAUUUUUGUUGUAAGUAUCACGAAAUACAGCGACCAUGUAUCCACCGGCAAAAAUUUCAAGAGGUAACUUUAAAAUUCCCAUGUAUUGAAGUUUUUUUUUCUUUACUAACUGAUAUCAUGAAUUUAAAAGUUAGUUUCUAUAUUUUUUUUUUGGGAAACUGCAAAAGGACAUUGGUAAAAAAA
rnacentral:pre_miRNA from 1 species